CCCUUUGAUACUCUGGGCGGUACGCGCGCUACACUGGUUUAUAUAACGUGUAAUUUGGACGAUAGUCUGUAUAAAUCACUAAUAUAAAACCGUGAAUGGGAUAGUUUAUUGCAACUUACAAACUUUAACUAGGAAUCCCUUGUAGAAGUAGUGAAUUAUACUGCUUCGAAUACGUCCCUGCCGAUUGUACGCACCGCCCGUCGUUUCUUCCGACUGGUACUCAUUGUGAAUUGCGAGGAGAUUCUGUCAAAUCGUUGUAAAUGCUGGGUAUUGGAGGAAGAAAAAGUCGUAACA
rnacentral:rRNA from 1 species